AGAUGUUUCCAUUCAUUAAUGUAAGGGGCUAUGUGAUUAUCAAUUUUGUGUCAACUUUAGUAGGCCACAUUACCCAGAUAUUUUGUCAAACACCAGUCUGGAUGUUACAUGAAGUUAUUGUUUAGAUGAGAUUAAUAUUUAAAUCAGUAGAUGUUGACUAAAUCAGAUUACCUUAAAGGUCUUAAGAAAAAACCAGCUGAGAUCCAUCAUGAAGAGGAAAUUCUGCCUCCAGACUGUCUUUGGGGUCAAGAUUCCAUGCCAGCUCUCCAGUCUGUGGGCUUAUGCUACCAAUUUUGAACUUGCCAUCCUUCAUAAUCGCAUGGAAGAAGUUCUCCAAAUGCUUACAGAGAUUAGAAAGUUGGAGUGCAUUUAUUACAUGAGAGCUGGUCUCCUGCCCAUAACUAUGUCCCCAUUGUGAGAGUCCAGAAGACAUUCUCCGCAUUGAUGCUUUGAAAAACACAUUGUGAGUGAAACGCAAAAGUGAACAGACUCUGCUACACUGUUAACAUUUAUACUAUAAAUCUUCCCCCAGCCUCCCCCAAGGAACUUCUAGUCAUUUUCCCAGAUGACUGUGCAUUAGGGGAAGUAGUUAGGAUUUGGGGAUUACUCGUUGUUUGGAGCGCACUAUUUCCUGCAGACCCAACACUGGCAUUAUUCACCUGUCAAGAUUAACAGAGCUGUGUUUUAUGUCCAUCUCACAGUGACCACUGUGCCUCUGCAUCUACCGAUGAUGAUUUUCCAAAUUUUAGGAUGCAUAUUUGGAAUAGACAUACAAAGCAACCGGCAUCAGCCCACUUUAGUUUCCACACUAAUAUAGAACCAUGGGCUACUAUAAUGAACCAGGAAAGACAAAGUAGAAGAAAGAAAAAAUUGCUUCUACCUAUUAUAAUAGUAAAGGCAAAACAAUACUGCGUGUUUCUGGCAGGAUUGCAGAGGUUAGUGCCAACAUCCAGUUAAGUGAUUCUAAUCACUUCUUCUGUAAAAUUUGCCUUUUUGGCUGAAGCAAAACACAGAU
rnacentral:lncRNA from 1 species